rnacentral:rRNA from 1 species
CAGUCGCCGCGGUAAUACGAAGGGUGCAAGCGUUACUUGGAAUUACUGGGCGUAAAGCGUGCGUAGGUGGUGGUUUAAGUCCGUUGUGAAAGCCCUGGGCUCAACCUGGGAAUUGCAGUGGAUACUGGGUCACUAGAGUGUGGUAGAGGAUAGUGGAAUUUCCGGUGUAGCAGUGAAAUGCGUAGAGAUCGGAAGGAACAUCUGAGGCGAAGGCGACUAUCUGGGCCAGCACUGACACUGAGGCACGAAAGCGUGGGGAGCAAACAGGAUUAGAUACCCGCGUAGUCCCUGUCUCUUAUAC